rnacentral:rRNA from 1 species
GAACGAUGAUCCGGUGCUUGCACCGGGGAUUAGUGGCGAACGGGUGAGUAACACGUGAGUAACCUGCCCUUGACUCUGGGAUAAGCCUGGGAAACUGGGUCUAAUACCGGAUACGACCGCUCACCGCAUGGUGUGGUGGUGGAAAGCUUUUGCGGUUUUGGAUGGACUCGCGGCCUAUCAGCUUGUUGGUGGGGUAAUGGCCUACCAAGGCGACGACGGGUAGCCGGCCUGAGAGGGUGACCGGCCACACUGGGACUGAGACACGGCCCAGACUCCUACGGGAGGCAGCAGUGGGGAAUAUUGCACAAUGGGCGGAAGCCUGAUGCAGCGACGCCGCGUGAGGGAUGACGGCCUUCGGGUUGUAAACCUCUUUCAGUAGGGAAGAAGCGAAAGUGACGGUACCUGCAGAAGAAGCGCCGGCUAACUACGUGCCAGCAGCCGCGGUAAUACGUAGGGCGCAAGCGUUAUCCGGAAUUAUUGGGCGUAAAGAGCUCGUAGGCGGUUUGUCGCGUCUGCUGUGAAAGACCGGGGCUCAACUCCGGUUCUGCAGUGGGUACGGGCAGACUAGAGUGAUGUAGGGGAGACUGGAAUUCCUGGUGUAGCGGUGAAAUGCGCAGAUAUCAGGAGGAACACCGAUGGCGAAGGCAGGUCUCUGGGCAUUAACUGACGCUGAGGAGCGAAAGCAUGGGGAGCGAACAGGAUUAGAUACCCUGGUAGUCCAUGCCGUAAACGUUGGGCACUAGGUGUGGGGGACAUUCCACGUUUUCCGCGCCGUAGCUAACGCAUUAAGUGCCCCGCCUGGGGAGUACGGCCGCAAGGCUAAAACUCAAAGGAAUUGACGGGGGCCCGCACAAGCGGCGGAGCAUGCGGAUUAAUUCGAUGCAACGCGAAGAACCUUACUAAGGCUUGACAUGAACCGGUAACGCCUGGAAACAGGUGCCCCGCUUGCGGUCGGUUUACAGGUGGUGCAUGGUUGUCGUCAGCUCGUGUCGUGAGAUGUUGGGUUAAGUCCCGCAACGAGCGCAACCCUCGUUCUAUGUUGCCAGCGCGUGAUGGCGGGGACUCAUAGGAGACUGCCGGGGUCAACUCGGAGGAAGGUGGGGACGACGUCAAAUCAUCAUGCCCCUUAUGUCUUGGGCUUCACGCAUGCUACAAUGGCCGGUACAAAGGGUUGCGAUACUGUGAGGUGGAGCUAAUCCCAAAAAGCCGGUCUCAGUUCGGAUUGGGGUCUGCAACUCGACCCCAUGAAGUCGGAGUCGCUAGUAAUCGCAGAUCAGCAACGCUGCGGUG